rnacentral:rRNA from 1 species
GCAGUAGCCACGGGAAUACAGAGGGUGCGAGCGUUAUCCGGAUUUAUUGGGUUUAAAGGGUCCGUAGGCGGAUCUGUAAGUCAGUGGUGAAAUCUCACAGCUUAACUGUGAAACUGCCAUUGAUACUGCAGGUCUUGAGUAAAUUUGAAGUGGCUGGAAUAAGUAGUGUAGCGGUGAAAUGCAUAGAUAUUACUUAGAACACCAAUUGCGAAGGCAGGUCACUAAGAUUUAACUGACGCUGAUGGACGAAAGCGUGGGGAGCGAACAGGAUUAGAUACCCGCGUAGUCCCUGUCUCUUAUAC